GCGUGUUAGCUGAAAGGCCUGAUCACCCUAUCAGCCAGGAGCCUCCUCCGAUUUUGCUGGCUUGUGUCGUAUCGUGUCGUAUCAAAAUAAAAUCACGUCCCACUAACCUGUCAUGUACUUGGUGUUCGGGCUGCUGGUCAGCUGCAUCUGAAGUGUGAAGCUGGUCCAGUAAGAGACACUACCUCAUCCAUCUUGUAUCUCUAAUAUCCUGGGACCAAGACAGUUACCACAACACUGCAAAAUAUCAAAAACAUCUUUAAAAGUAUUUGCAUAAUGUCAUGUAAUCUCUUCCAUUACUAGACAUAUCAAGACAAUAAUGAAAGUUGGAAAUCGUUAGUGUCAGCACUCUACACUUCCAGACUGCACCCACUGAGAAAGCAUGUGUUUGCACAGAGACCUCAGACCACUCAGGACCUUGAAGGACAACUGCAGCUAAAAGGAGACCAGAAGCAACUGGUGUUGUGUGAAAUUAAAAAUUCAAGAGAGUUAAUUACAGAAUAAAAUGAAGUAGUAACUAAAUUGAUCUGAGUAAUUAAGGUCAAAUUUGACAAAAUUGAGGAGUAAGUAAAUAAAGGCAUUUAUAGCACACACAGAGAUCUGAAAAUGCUAAGCUCUUUGGCAUAGGGACUGUCUUUUUGUUCUAUGUUUCUAGAGCACCUAGUUAAAUGAAAUUCUGGUCCAUGAUUGGGGCUCCUGUGCACUACCAUAAUACAAAUAAAUAAAUUGCUGUAUAAGAAGAGGAUGGCAAGCCACCAAAAGUUUCAUCUGUGGCUGAAAAAGACUACUGCAGGAAGAUUAUUUGUAUUACCACAACACCUAGGAGCCCUGUUCAUGGACAAGGACCCCAUUGUGGUAGGCACUGUACCAACACAAAACAGACUGCCUCCAGAAGAUUACAAUCUACAAUAAGACAAGAGACAUCAGAUGAAUAGAGAGAGAUGGGGGAGUACAAGUAAACAAUAAGACAAUAUUGGACAGCCCAACAGGGAGUUCUCUGCACACCAACAGCCUAACUGCUGUCAAGUUGCUUGUAGGUAUCAUGGCAAAUUAGAGGUUUUUAGGAAGGAUUUAAAAUAGGAUUUAAAAUAGCUUAUCUGGGCCAAAAUUCCUACAUCAGACUUCAUCUAUCCAGGAAGUAAGAUAGUCCCAACAUGAUUAUAUUACUCCAGAAGAUAAUUAUACUAGGAUACAACGAUGGCAACAGCCUAAACACCAUUGUAUUUGCUGGGCUUUUUGAUUAGUGCCAGAAAGGGAAAGGAAAGGUGUUCCAUGACAGCAGAAUUUUUUAGUGAGAGAUCAAGAUUUCUGACUCAGAAGAUUAAGGAGACUUUGACAAAUUAAGUUUGAAGAUUCUCCAGAUUACGUUUUUUCCUCUUUUAUGUGUGAAGUUUACUGAAAGAAUGGACAGUUAAGUUGUGAACUAGUUUCAGUUGGGAUUCUUAGUGUGGCAGAAGUGGGAGUUAGGGAUACAGAGAAGUAGUAAAAUAGCUAAUAUAGAGAUGAAGUGUGAAGCCAAAGUCAUGGCACACCAAGCCAAAGUCUCAGCUCAAGGAACAAGUGAACAAAAAAGUUUCCCCCCAAAUGAAAAGCAUUUCUCCCCCUGAAAGGAAGGAAGGAAGGAAGGAAGGAAGGAAAAGAGAGAGAGAGUGAGUGAGUGUUGCCUGCCUUCAUAUAAUAGCUUAUCUGGGCCAUAACAACUUCACUUUUCUUUUACUAGCUUAGGAAAAAUAACAUUUUACCAUAUAUAUUAAAUAUUAAAAUGGUAUUCCUAGGCAUCCAAAGUACUCCAAAAAACCCUUCCCACAUGAAAUAAAAAUUAAUAUCCAUCAUGUAAGUUAAGUAUUUAUAUAUAACUACACAAUGAAUAUUUAGUACAGAAGUAUUAAUAUUUAAUUACAUAGUAGCCAGCAGAAAGUCCUGUCAGGAUCAGUACCGAUUGUGCUAAAUGUUGUACAAACAUGUAAGAAGAACUAAGAAUCUCCAAGCUAAAAAGCAUUGCUCAGGUUUUUGCUGUUAACCAGGAUGUAUUUGAUUGACUAACGGAGUUGUGGUGGGUUUGGAUACAUAGGUCUUAAAAGAAUAUGGGUUGGGGAAGGUAGACAGAACUUUUUUCUCAGUGUGUGGGGCACAACUGGUUAUACUCUAGUGCAGUGGUCCCCAACGCGGUGCCCGUGGGCGCCAUGGCACCCGUGGGGGCAUCUUAAUGUGCCCACGCCCUGGACCCCGGGAGAGCACCCGCCGAAAUGCUGCCGAAUUUCAGCGGCAUUUUGGUGGGGACGCCUCUCGAUG